rnacentral:misc_RNA from 1 species
GAUGAAGAACGUAGCGAAAUGCGAUACUUGGUGUGAAUUGCAGAAUCCCGUGAACCAUCGAGUCUUUGAACGCAAGUUGCGCCCGAAGCCAUUAGGCCGAGGGCACGCCUGCCUGGGCGUCACACGUCGUUGCCCCCCCAUCUACUCCUUCGGGAUUGCGGGGGGCGGAUGAUGGCCUCUCGUGCGCCUCGUCGCGCGGUUGGCCUAAAUGCCAAGUCCUCGGCGACGCACGCCACGACAAUCGGUGGUUGCGAAACCUCGGUUGCCUGUCGUGUGCGGUCGUCGCGCAUCGAGGGCUCGAAAAAAUUGCCGGGCUUCGGCUCGACUUUCAACGCGACCCCAGGUCAGGCGGGGUCACCCGCUGAAUUUAAGCAUAUCAAUAAGCGGAGGA